rnacentral:rRNA from 1 species
UACGUAGGGGGCUAGCGUUGUUCGGAAUUACUGGGCGUAAAGCGCGCGUAGGCGGCUUUGUAAGUUAGAGGUGAAAGCCCGGAGCUCAACUCCGGAACUGCCUUUAAGACUGCAUCGCUAGAAUCAUGGAGAGGUGAGUGGAAUUCCGAGUGUAGAGGUGAAAUUCGUAGAUAUUCGGAAGAACACCAGUGGCGAAGGCGACUCACUGGACAUGUAUUGACGCUGAGGUGCGAAAGCGUGGGGAGCAAACAGG